CACGGAGUGGCCCGGCUGGAGCAGCGUUCCUUUUUCCCUGGCUGCAGGAGCAGAGGCAGCCAGAGCAACAUGGAGAAAGGGAAGCGGCUCCUGGAUGCUGGCAAAAGAGAGGGCAAGGCAGGAGCUGGCAGGAGCAACUUGAGGAACUAUACAUCGCUUCUGCUGUGAGAGAAUUGGCCGUCUGCACGGAUGUUGCCUAAGGAACAACCAGAUGUUUUUGAUGUUUUACCAUCCUUGUGGGAGGCUUCCCUCAUGUCCCCGCAUGGAGCUGGAGCUGACA
rnacentral:lncRNA from 11 species